rnacentral:rRNA from 1 species
UAACCGUAUAGGGGAGCCGUAGGGAAACCGAGUCUUAACCGGGCGUUAAGUUGCAGGGUAUAGACCCGAAACCCGGUGAUCUAGCCAUGGGCAGGUUGAAGGUUGGGUAACACUAACUGGAGGACCGAACCGACUAAUGUUGAAAAAUUAGCGGAUGACCUGUGGCUGGGGGUGAAAGGCCAAUCAAACCGGGAGAUAGCUGGUUCUCCCCGAAAGCUAUUUAGGUAGCGCCUCGUGAAUUCAUCUCCGGGGGUAGAGCACUGUUUCGGCUAGGGGGCCAUCCCGGCUUACCAACCCGAUGCAAACUGCGAAUACCGGAGAAUGUUAUCACGGGAGACACACGGCGGGUGCUAACGUCCGUCGUGAAGAGGGAAACAACCCAGACCGCCAGCUAAGGUCCCAAAGUCAUGGUUAAGUGGGAAACGAUGUGGGAAGGCCCAGACAGCCAGGAUGUUGGCUUAGAAGCAGCCAUCAUUUAAAGAAAGCGUAAUAGCUCACUGGUCGAGUCGGCCUGCGCGGAAGAUGUAACGGGGCUAAACCAUGCA